UACGACAAGGACUUCUACAGGAUCGCGCAACUGGUGAGAACAAAAGACUCGAAGCAAUGCGUGCAAUUCUACUACUUCUGGAAAAAGGUGACCAAAGAUUACAAGACGCUGUACCUGCGGAGCUGGACCGUGGACGCACACGUAAGCAACGCCUCCAGUGGGCUCCAGCACUUUGUGUUCAAACUCGAGGAGUGAUCUAACCGCCUUCUCCGCCCCAGGGUCCGGCAGGCCAGGGGUUGGGGCCGGGGUCCGUAGCCCAGGGGCCUUCGGGGGCCGCGUCGUCUCCCACCUACGACGGAGAGGAGUUCCCUUGCAAGAUCUGCGGGAAGUAAGUGCCAAACGCCGAGGCACACUUUGCUUCCUCAAAGCGAACGCAACGCAAUUUACGUGGAACUUGCUUAUUUUACACAGGAUUUGUGGUAUUGAAUGAUGGUGGUGGGUUCUUUUACAAUGUCUAGAAUACAAAUUCGGUUUUAAACUAUCUAUAGCCCCACAGUGUCUUACGUCUCACACAAUCGCCUAAUUACAAUAGUUUAUAAAUUUCGUGAGAUACCUUUAAUAUAAAAAUUGUAAGCAUUAGAAACCGGCCAUUACUCGCAAUGCUAUAGGAUAGGUUUCACCUAAAUUGCCUUCGUGCAUGCUUAAGUUAAGGGAUAAGUGUACGCAGCUUAGUAGUCUAACAAUGUGAAUCGAAGUUAAGUUUUAAUGUAUCGCACCGGCUCAGUGCACUCUGUUACCCACCCGUGGCGUCACUGUCGCGGUUCCCUUUAUCCCCGUAGGUGCUGGGCGGUGCCCGGCUCAGUGUUAUUCGAUGUUGAUUGCUGUCAAGUUAAUGUUUACGUAAAUUCGACUUUAAAUAACUGUUUAUAACGAAUAGCUAAUAAUGUCUGUUCAACGUGGCGUAACGUCUGUUUUAAUGGUAUUCUUUAUUGAGUCUUUUGUAACUUAAUACGUUUAAGCUAAUUAUUUACAAGCAAAGUAUUUCUUAUAUUAUUUACAACGCUUAUUUAUUCAAGCCUAAGUACGAUUACGCCACGCUUAAUAAAGAUAGACUUUGAAAUUUAACAUCGAUGUAAAUAUGAAAUAAAAUAAUGUAUUUUUUAUCGAAAUAAGACGAUAAAUUAAUGUCCAUCGCUUAGGAAACCGAGCGUACAAUACACAUAGAAUAUUUUAUUUAUUAUCUACUAUAACUAGGGUUAACGAUUGAAAUGUUUUGUGUAUCACGAUGUAUGUAUAUUAGUUACUAACGCUUCACGCUUCGCUAUGGCGGAUUUCUGCUUGUUUCACAUGGGUUUGUGUUCGCUUGUUUUUAUUUUGGUAUUUAUUUGCAUAAUUAAUAGUAAAUCCCUGUUAUGUUUCAGAGUAUUUAACAAAGUUAAAAGUCGUAGCGCACACAUGAAGUCGCACCGGCCUCUCGACGCCGCCGACAAGGGCCAAGCUAGGAAAGCCUUAUGAAAAGGUCGCACGAGACCGCCGCUGGCUCGGCCCGACCACGCUCACUAAACUCGCCAACACGGCUGCUAGCUCAACCGCGCACUAAGCCCGACGGUUGUUCGCUCAGCCACGCACUAAACUCGUCCGUAUCUGCUCAAACGCGCGCUAAACUCAUCGGUUGUUUACUCAACCGCGCACUAUACGCUCGACCACCGCGCACUAAGCUCGCGUAUACUCAAUUUGCGCACUAAAAUGAGCAAUGCGCUCUCCCAGCACUAACUUAGCGAGAGUCAGACCAAUGCUCAGCAUCUGUGGUAGCCACAGUCCACAUAAUCAAACGAAAACAUCUACGACUCUGAAUUUGUUACUUAUCGAUUCAUUUUAAGUAACACGUGCAUAUAAAUGCUUCAUGUUUAUUAUAGUACAUAGCGUCUAAGUUGGUGUUACAUUGAUAAGUGCCAUAUUUUUUCUCUAUGUGUGAACUGAAAUGAUCUGCAAAAGAAAUACGUAACAAAUGCACAUUGCACAGUCGUCAUGUCAUUAUACCGAUAGUGAUUCGCGUGACGCUCGCUGGGGCCGCGCGCGACCAAACCCCAGCCUUACAAACUCGCUCGCACUCGGACCGAAUGCUGAAUCGUAUAAGCAUUUACUAUUAUAAAGUCUAGACUAAAGGGGCCCUAGAGUGACGUAGUGACUAGUAGCUAGAAGAGUUAGCUUUCGGAUAAAUCUUAAAUAAAAAAUAUAUAUUAAUUAUUUCCAAAUUCUCAUAAUGCUAAGCUUGAAGAGAGCGCAUAAAGAUAUUUUGUAUAACGAUUGAUAAAAUAGGUAGGUGUUCGUAAAGUUUUUAUAUGACAGACUUCUUAAUGUGACUUGCAAGUGUGAUGUUGUACAUAAAGUGUAGUUCGUUGUUAACGCGCGUCGAUGGCCGGCCGGGGCCGCGGCCUCGCCACCAGCAUCCAGCGACCUCUCAUAUGAACUGGGGCCAAGUAACUUUUUGAUCGAAAUCAACAUUUAAACUCUAAUAUAUAAAGUAUCUAACUUGAUUUAGUGCGAAAUUUUACUUGGACUUCUGAUUUCGGGUGCACCAACUAUUCAAAUAUUUCGUUCUUCAAGACAUCGAAUUAAUAUUAACAAAUACUUAACGCAAAUCUAUUAUAAAUAAAUUAUAACUUGUUAUCACUGUCACACUUAAAUGUGCCUACUUAUAAAAUCUAUUUUCAGAGUGCCUUCAGUAUACUUAAUAUAUUUUUAUGAUGUCGCUUUAUUUCUUUAAACAUAAGAGAGUUACAGAUCUGUCUAAGUUAUCGGAUAGUCAAAUCACAUAAAUAGUAAUGUAGCAGGUCGAACAGGAGUUGUGGCGUUUCAGGCCGGUGGCUGGCCAUCGAUAUUGAUCUAGUAUUACAAACUAUAAUUACGUGUGAUACAUAAAUCGUGUAGUAACUACACUACCUCGUUUUUAUUUAUUCGCGAGCCCAGCUCAUAUUACAUUUGCUUGUUUGCUCAUUAUUGUUACAUACUAUUUUUGUUUUCUGUUUACAUUUUCUAGUCUUAUUAGACAAAUUUAUGCGCACCUCGGAAUUGCGUAAGUUAAAAUGGAAUUUGCCAAAAGAAAAACUCUACAUUUCACUGAGUAGCAACUAUUAUACUACAGCUGUUGACGUUAAAGUAUAGCAGAAAAUCUGGAAAAUCAUUUUGGCAAAUUCCAUUUUCAAUCUUUAUAUUUCACUUUUAUAACUAUGUGCGUCUGUACCUACUAGUCACAUAAUCCAUGUUGAUUCUGUUGGACGAACUUAGCGAAAUAUAGACAAACUCGUGCGUUUAGAAUGCUGGGGUCAAGCCUCAGGCUUCGAAGGACAGGGACGGAUUCGAGGGACAUAGCGGGGCCCAUGUUUCUGAAACACAGAACUAAAUAACCCUGGAUAGAUCUAACUAAAAGACAUUUACUUAUUCGUACAUCUAUUUUUAGGGCAACGCUCAAAUGUUUUAAAACCACGUUGCUAAUCUAAAAUCUUGGAUCCAAAAGUCCCUGAUGCCCUGGCUGUACCUUACAUUUGUUUUAAAUUAAGUCUUAAUGUAUAAAUUAGCUAAAAAAUAUUACACAACGAAUAAGUAUGAAUGUAUUAUUUGUCAAGUUACCAACUUGGUCCCAAAUGCAUUCAUAGGCCUGUAUUAUGAAACGAGACGCCCAAAACUCGGUAUAAUGACCCUGUGACUUUCUGAAUUGAAAUAUUUUGGCCAACCACAGGCUUGGAUAUUCUUCAGUGUAGAUCCGUAUUUGCGAGUCGUUUAAUAAUACGGGCCAAAGUGUAUGAAUAACAAAACGGAGGGAUAAUAUUUUUUUACACAAAUAUUAUUGAAAUGCUCAAAUAUUCUAUAUAUUAUGUUGGUAAUAUUAUUAUCUAGUUCCUUGUUGAUUGUUCUUGAAUACGUUAUUAUUUGAUACUUGAAAUAUAGUUAAUUUUUGAAUGUACAUUAUUUUCUAUGCACUUGAAUUAAAUGUAUAACUUGUACCUACGUGUUGUGAUAAAUGUAUGGUUUAUUGAAUCUGUCUCUGUUUAGUGAAAGUUACUUACCAAUUGGGCAAUAAUAUUUGCUCAAGUGUACUAUAGCAACUAUUUAUAUUUAAGGGUGUUCUGUAUAUUCUUCGUCUCAGGACCGUGUCCCACUGAGGCUUCUUUCCUAUCUCUUUCGAAAAUCGAAUAGAUAGACAAGGAAAAACUGUUAUUGGAAUUUGUACUUAAGCAGACGCGGUUCUGGGACGACAAUCGCGGACACUGCUGCCAAAGUUAAAUAUACGCAUCUCUCACUCAAGUAUCAAGAUUUCGUGGUUGUGAUCUUUCUUAAUCGACUCUGUUAUCGUCUUCCGAAGUACAACACUUCUAUUUUAAUUUUGGAGCAGUAUUCCUUGUAAAAGACAUGUUAAUAAGAAAAUAAUCUUUAUCGUUUAAUAUUAUUAACUAUCCCUCUUUAGAUUAACAUUAAAAUAACAAUUAUGAGAGCGUUUGACGCUUACAGUAUUAUGUAUCUUGAAUUGAGGAAUAAAGGAAUUAUUGUAGUGAAUAUCUCGACGCACUAAGAUCAUUCAUUAUUAUGCAAAUCCAAAAAGUCGUUAUUGUCUGUUGAUCGACCUUUACCAUACUUGCGUACAGACUAGAAAGACUCCAAACUAAAAAGCCCAUCUUGAGUGUGUCGAGGUAUUGACAGAUUUGAAAAAACUAUUGAAAUAUAUUAUAUUGUAUUUUAUUCUUCUGAGAGCUAUUUUCAAAUACACGAUUCGUUUUCCUUCCAUGAGUACCUGAACAGACUUCUGCCAAUGUACGGAGCCUCUCCGCAGGCUAUCUGCUAGGUAAUACAGAGUUAAAAUGCUAUAAUAUACAUCACUAACUCGUGUGAUUAUUUGGUUGUGUUCUAUCUUAACAUUGUAGACAAAUUUUCUAACGUUUAUAUUCCUAAUUUUUAACUCGAUGCCAAAAUUAGCCAAACUAUUUCUAUUGUAACUUGAUUAAUUAUGCAGUAUUUAGGUGAAAAUAUAUUAAAUUAAUAUGUGUUAGAGAAAAUUGUAACUAUCAUUAUUUAAGGUAAAGGCGAGGCUUCAAUUUAUAAACCCCAGUUAACGUUUAAGAACAUUCAAACGUGCCAUUUUAUAACAUAGUUUCAGAAUUGAUCUUAACGAACUUAUAGUGAGUGAAGUUUGAUCACAAUCUAUAUUUAGUGCUUCGUCUGGAGAGAUUGUAUCAGUGUGAAUGCUCAUCUCCAAGACAAGGCACGCGUAUAAUACGUUUCAAUUAUACGACUAGCUCUACGUAUAUAGAUCGCUUAUUAUUUAUUUGUCUACUUUCAGAGCGUACUUAUUUUCAUAAUAUAAACUUUAGUCAUAAUAACUUAACUAUUGUGUAAAUAUUAAUAUUUUUUCAAAUUAACUUUAUUCCUGGAAAUAUGUAGCUCUAUUUCAUAAAUUUACAAUUGAUUAAAGAAAGACAAGUCCAUCCAGAAAUUAUUUUUAACAAUACUCUUAGCUAUUAAGACUGAAGGUACACUCGAAAUUCUCUUGCCGUAUUUUACGUUUGCCAAAUGUAGUGAUUAUUUUACGUUGUUAAUUAAUUUAUCGUUUACUGUUAGUAUUCAUUGUCACUAACCCAUUCCAUGUGCCAAACGUCAUACUAGUCAGGGUAUAGCUUUACAAUUAUACCCGUUACUUUAACCAAAUAGCGAGUGUUCGGUGUUAGAUCGCGCCGCGCCCGCGCCGCGCUUGACUCAUUAGGGUAUCUGCUGUAUUCUUAUUAAAAUCGCACUCAAAUGCUAAGUGUUAAAUUAUAACGUAAGAACGUCGAUUGAACAAUCUAUAUUCAACUUAAAUAUAGAAGUGCCUUACAAUUUAAUUUUUGUACUGUUUAUUAAUUUAUUUUCGUCUUAUUUAAAAGAAAAGCACUGGAAAUUGCAUUUAUUUUAGAUCCACGAGUAAUUCUGUCCAGUCAGAAUUAAUAUUGCGUGGAUCGAACUUCAUUAUCUAAGAUAUUGUGUUGUUUUUCUUUAUCUCGUGUUAGUGAUCAACUAUCAGGCAAAAUAAGAAAAAUUCAAACAAGCCUGCCCCAAUAAUAUGUGGUUUAUCAAGGAUAGUGACAGUAUGUUCAAACUGUAACUACAAUAACUACGAGUCAAUUGUAUGAAAAUGUAACAUUUAAGAGAAAUCUAAUACCGUAAUCGUAAUGAAUUCCAACCAAAGGAUACAGCGACUUUUGAAGAGUAAUAUAAAUACAUGUAUGUUAGUCCAGUCAGGUUACGUUCGCUUAGUGCCCGACCUUAGUCCCCCCUGUAGUCCCGCCGCUGCGGCAUGUAGGCUAUGUGUAAGUACUUCUGUAUUUGUGUCAACAUUUAAUGAUAUGUCAAAUGUUACUAUAGUAUUAAUAUUUGUAAGUCUAAAUGGAUAUUAUAUUCUUCUAAUUUUGUAUCGGAUAAAGAGUGUCGGCGCCCCUUCACUUCGAUGUACUUGCGUACCUAAUACGUACUCUACUUGUAAUAUAUUGUAGGCGGUAACGGCCCGUGCCAGCGCACGAUAAUUGAUAUUACACUCUGUGUUGUGAUUUUGAACGUUCUGUAAAUUACAAACUCUUUGAAAUACUAUGGAGUAAAUUUGUAGACACCUUUUUAGAUUAGCACAAUUCUUCGCGUAGACACGUUAGUCAAAAGUUAAGCAUGUAGAUGAAACAUUGACAUAGGUAUUCAUUGGAAGAUGUAUGUAUUACGUAUGGAUAGAUUCAUUGUUAUAUUCGAUCAAUGUGAUGAUUCGUAAGAACAACGACUAAUCGAGUCCGCUCCCACUCCCGCUGGGCGACUUCUCACAACUUCGCAUAUCCUUGAAACAAUAAGUAAUAAAAUAAAACUCUAUUAUAUAUAUUGAUAAAUUUAUUAGGGUAACUAAUUUUUUAAGACAAUGACUAUUACGUGAUCUUUUAGAUUGUCUUUAUUAAUAAAUAUAUGGUGAAGGUUUUGUCAA